rnacentral:rRNA from 1 species
AGCGCAUACGGUGGAUGCCUUGGCAGUCAGAGGCGAUGAAAGACGUGGUAGCCUGCGAAAAGCUUCGGGGAGUCGGCAAACAGACUUUGAUCCGGAGAUCUCUGAAUGGGGGAACCCACCUAGGAUAACCUAGGUAUCUUGUACUGAAUCCAUAGGUGCAAGAGGCGAACCAGGGGAACUGAAACAUCUAAGUACCCUGAGGAAAAGAAAUCAACCGAGAUUCCCUUAGUAGUGGCGAGCGAACGGGGAUUAGCCCUUAAGCUUCAUUGAUUUUAGCGGAACGCUCUGGAAAGUGCGGCCAUAGUGGGUGAUAGCCCCGUACGCGAAAGGAUCUUUGAAGUGAAAUCGAGUAGGACGGAGCACGAGAAACUUUGUCUGAACAUGGGGGGACCAUCCUCCAAGGCUAAAUACUACUGACUGACCGAUAGUGAACCAGUACCGUGAGGGAAAGGCGAAAAGAACCCCGGAGAGGGGAGUGAAAUAGAACCUGAAACCGUAUGCGUACAAGCAGUGGGAGCCUACUUGUUAGGUGACUGCGUACCUUUUGUAUAAUGGGUCAGCGACUUAUAUUCAGUGGCAAGCUUAACCGUAUAGGGUAGGCGUAGCGAAAGCGAGUCUUAAUAGGGCGUUUAGUCGCUGGGUAUAGACCCGAAACCGGGCGAUCUAUCCAUGAGCAGGUUGAAGGUUAGGUAACACUGACUGGAGGACCGAACCCACUCCCGUUGAAAAGGUAGGGGAUGACUUGUGGAUCGGAGUGAAAGGCUAAUCAAGCUCGGAGAUAGCUGGUUCUCCUCGAAAGCUAUUUAGGUAGCGCCUCAUGUAUCACUCUGGGGGGUAGAGCACUGUUUCGGCUAGGGGGUCAUCCCGACUUACCAAACCGAUGCAAACUCCGAAUACCCAGAAGUGCCGAGCAUGGGAGACACACGGCGGGUGCUAACGUCCGUCGUGAAAAGGGAAACAACCCAGACCGCCAGCUAAGGUCCCAAAGUUGUGGUUAAGUGGUAAACGAUGUGGGAAGGCUUAGACAGCUAGGAGGUUGGCUUAGAAGCAGCCAUCCUUUAAAGAAAGCGUAAUAGCUCACUAGUCGAGUCGGCCUGCGCGGAAGAUGUAACGGGGCUCAAACCACACACCGAAGCUGCGGGUGUCACGCAAGUGACGCGGUAGAGGAGCGUUCUGUAAGCCUGUGAAGGUGAGUUGAGAAGCUUGCUGGAGGUAUCAGAAGUGCGAAUGCUGACAUGAGUAACGACAAUGGGUGUGAAAAACAUCCACGCCGAAAGACCAAGGGUUCCUGCGCAACGUUAAUCGACGCAGGGUUAGUCGGUUCCUAAGGCGAGGCUGAAAAGCGUAGUCGAUGGGAAACAGGUUAAUAUUCCUGUACUUCUGGUUACUGCGAUGGAGGGACGGAGAAGGCUAGGCCAGCUUGGCGUUGGUUGUCCAAGUUUAAGGUGGUAGGCUGAAAUCUUAGGUAAAUCCGGGGUUUCAAGGCCGAGAGCUGAUGACGAGUCGUCUUUUAGAUGACGAAGUGGUUGAUGCCAUGCUUCCAAGAAAAGCUUCUAAGCUUCAGGUAACCAGGAACCGUACCCCAAACCGACACAGGUGGUCGGGUAGAGAAUACCAAGGCGCUUGAGAGAACUCGGGUGAAGGAACUAGGCAAAAUGGCACCGUAACUUCGGGAGAAGGUGCGCCGGCUAGGGUGAAGGAUUUACUCCGUAAGCUCUGGCUGGUCGAAGAUACCAGGCCGCUGCGACUGUUUAUUAAAAACACAGCACUCUGCAAACACGAAAGUGGACGUAUAGGGUGUGACGCCUGCCCGGUGCCGGAAGGUUAAUUGAUGGGGUUAGCGCAAGCGAAGCUCUUGAUCGAAGCCCCGGUAAACGGCGGCCGUAACUAUAACGGUCCUAAGGUAGCGAAAUUCCUUGUCGGGUAAGUUCCGACCUGCACGAAUGGCGUAACGAUGGCGGCGCUGUCUCCACCCGAGACUCAGUGAAAUUGAAAUCGCUGUGAAGAUGCAGUGUAUCCGCGGCUAGACGGAAAGACCCCGUGAACCUUUACUGUAGCUUUGCACUGGACUUUGAGCCUGCUUGUGUAGGAUAGGUGGGAGGCUUUGAAGCGUGGACGCCAGUUCGCGUGGAGCCAUCCUUGAAAUACCACCCUGGCAUGCUUGAGGUUCUAACUCUGGUCCGUGAUCCGGAUCGAGGACAGUGUAUGGUGGGCAGUUUGACUGGGGCGGUCUCCUCCUAAAGAGUAACGGAGGAGUACGAAGGUGCGCUCAGACCGG